UACGAAGAGGGCGAGCGUUGUCCGGAUUUAUUGGGCGUAAAGAGCGUGUAGGCGGCCGAGCAGGUCCGUUGUGAAAACUGAAGGCUCAACCUUCAGAGGUCGAUGGAAACCGUUCGGCUAGAGUCCGGAAGAGGAGAGUGGAAUUCCUAGUGUAGCGGUGAAAUGCGCAGAUAUCAGGAAGAGCACCCGUGGCGAAAGCGGCUCUCUGGGACGGUACUGACGCUGAGACGAGAAAGCGUGGGGAGCGAACAGG
rnacentral:rRNA from 1 species